rnacentral:rRNA from 1 species
CCUACGGGAGGCAGCAGUGAGGAAUAUUGGUCAAUGGGGGCAACCCUGAACCAGCCAUGCCGCGUGCAGGAAGACGGCCCUAUGGGUUGUAAACUGCUUUUCUACGGGAAUAAAGUGAUCUACGUGUAGGUCUUUGAAGGUACCGUAGGAAUAAGCAUCGGCUAACUCCGUGCCAGCAGCCGCGGUAAUACGGAGGAUGCAGGCGUUAUCCGGAUUUAUUAGGUUUAAAGGGUGCGUAGGCGGCGCUUUAAGUCAGUGGUGAAAGUUUGCAGCUCAACUGUAAAAUUGCCAUUGAUACUGGAGCGCUUGAAUAUGGUAGAGGUAGGCGGAAUGUGUAGUGUAGCGGUGAAAUGCUUAGAUAUUACACAGAACACCAAUUGCGAAGGCAGCUUACUAUGCCAUUAUUGACGCUGAGGCACGAAAGCGUGGGGAGCGAACAGGAUUAGAUACCCUGGUAGUCCACGCCGUAAACGAUGAUUACUGGUUGUGUGCGAUACACAGUGCGCGACUGAGGGAAACCAUUAAGUAAUCCACCUGGGGAGUACGUUCGCAAGAAUGAAACUCAAAGGAAUUGACGGGGGCCCGCACAAGCGGAGGAACAUGUGGUUUAAUUCGAUGAUACGCGAGGAACCUUACCUGGGCUUAAAUGUAGAGUGCAUGACUUGGAAACAGGCCUUUCCUUCGGGACUCUUUACAAGGUGCUGCAUGGUUGUCGUCAGCUCGUGCCGUGAGGUGUCGGGUUAAGUCCCAUAACGAGCGCAACCCCUAUCGUUAGUUGCCAGCGGGUAAUGCCGGGGACUCUAAUGAAACUGCCGGUGUAAACCGUGAGGAAGGUGGGGAUGACGUCAAAUCAGCACGGCCCUUAUGUCCAGGGCUACACACGUGUUACAAUGGCCAGUACAAUGGGCAGCUACCCCGCGAGGGGAUGCUAAUCUCCAAAGCUGGUCUCAGUUCGGAUCGGAGUCUGCAACUCGACUCCGUGAAGUUGGAUUCGCUAGUAAUCGUAUAUCAGCAAUGAUACGGUGAAUACGUUCCCGGGCCUUGUACACACCGCCCGU